rnacentral:rRNA from 1 species
AUUGAACGCUGGCGGCAGGCCUAACACAUGCAAGUCGAGCGGAGCGGCGGACGGGGGAGUAAUGCCUAGGAAUCUGCCUGGUAGUGGGGGAUAACGUCCGGAAACGGGCGCUAAUACCGCAUCUUACCCGAUGAGCUUAGGUUGGUUUAGCAAGUUGGUGGGUUAAAGGCCUACCAAGGCCACGAUCCGUAAUUGGUCUGAGAGGAAGAUCAGUCACACUGGAACUGAGACACGGUCCAGACUGCUACGGGAGGCAGCAGUGGGGAAUAUUGGACAAUGGGCGAAAGCCUGAUCCAGCCAUGCCGCGUGUGUGAAGAAGGUCUUCGGAUUGUAAAGCACUUUAAGUUGGGAGGCGUUACCAACAGAAUAAGCACCGGCUAACUUCGUGCCAGCAGCCGCGGUAAUAC